AUGCGGCUAAUCAGCAUUUGGGUUGUGUUGGGAGCAAUUCUAACAGACCCGACUAACGGAGAUUCUGUCAAUCAGUCACUCCCCUCAGAUGUUCGGACAGAAGGCGAUGUGGUGACACUAACCUGUACCUAUGAUACUACAUCUAUGAUACACUGUUCUGGUACCCGACUGCACCAAGGCUCACAGCCUGAAUUUAUUUUGUUGGAAGAUCCUUUUGGUGAUGAUCAUAAAGCAAAUUUUGUGCAAGGUCGUUUCUCUAUGGAUCUUCAGAAUUUGGCGAAAUUCACCAGUUUGACUGUCGCCGGGCUACAGCUGUCUGAUGUUGCCAUGUAUUACUGA